UGUAAUCCUAUUGCGUCCACUAAUUCGGAAUUUCAAUCUCGCGUUUUCUGAUGGCAUGCGAGCAUUUGAGAAACUAAAUCGGCGAACCAGUGGAACAAAACCUCGCAAUUUUUGAUUUUUGAUUUUUGAUAUUUUUUGGAGCCUUCGGAGCUGCGCUUCCAUGCGAAGAAUCCAUCGCCAACCUCUGAACUCUCACCGUUUCUUCGCGAUCAUCGUCCAAUCUUCCACUUCAUCCACGGUAUUCCAAUCUUUUCCCUCUUUUUUCAUUUUUGCAACCCUCUUCCCUCUCCGCUCCUAAUCAAACCCCCAAUCCCCCCGCCUCUUCUGAAUUCCCGGCAAAAUUCAAUUUCAUUGUUAGGGUUUUUCUCCCCCCAAACCCCACCAGCCGGAGCCCCGCACUGGGUUACCCUUCGUUUUCGCUUUUCGUGGUUGUUGAUUGGGUCAUUUCUGUGAAUACUUGGAGUGUUGAUGGUCUGAAUUGAUUUUUGGUUUGUGGGUUUUGGUUGUUCUUGCGGUUGAUUUAAUGGGUACUGUGGCUCGCUCUCGGAUAUGAGAUGAGAUGGCUGGGUUCAGUUGCGAGGUGUUUCUAUAACACAAUGCAAUAAUGGUUUUGAGAAGGUAGUUGUCGAUGCUGAGUGACUGAGUUUGUGAAAUAAGUUCUAAUUGGACGGUGCAGAGUUUGUGAAAUAAGUUCUAAUUGGACAUUUUCUGCUUCACAUGGAUAAUGAGGUGAUUGAAUUUGAUAUUGGAUUGGGAGGAGGCAGUGGGAGAGAGGGGGAUGACUAUUCUAUAGCUAUUGUACACCAUUCCAUGGAGGAUGAGGAAAUGGUUGACAGUCCACCUUUGAGCAGUCUUGGUGGUGGCGCUGGCAGUGGUGAGAUAUAUCUUCCUGAGGGUGAUCUUUUGGAUCUAGAACCUUAUGAAGGAAUGGAAUUUGAGUCUGAAGAGGCUGCCAAGGCCUUCUAUAAUUCUUAUGCCCGUCGUGUUGGGUUUAGUACUCGUGUCAGUUCCUCCCGUCGGUCUAGGCGUGAUGGAGCAAUUAUACAAAGGCAGUUUGUUUGUGCCAAAGAGGGCUUUAGGAAUAUGAAUGAGAAGCGAACUAAAGACAGAGAAAUCAAGCGUCCUCGAACCAUCACCAGAGUGGGUUGCAAAGCAUCCUUGUCUGUAAAGAUGCAUGAUUCUGGGAAAUGGGUUGUCUCUGGAUUUGUUAGAGAGCAUAAUCAUGAGUUAGUUCCUCCUGACCAGGUGCACUGCUUGCGGUCACAUAGGCAAAUAUCAGGUCCAGCAAAGACCUUGAUUGAUACUUUACAGGCUGCUGGGAUGGGUCCUCGUAGGAUUAUGUCAGCACUAAUAAAAGAGUAUGGUGGAAUCAGUAAAGUUGGAUUUACAGAGGUGGAUUGUCGAAAUUAUAUGAGGAAUAAUCGCCAAAGGAGCUUGGAAGGGGACAUUCAACUGCUUCUGGAUUAUUUAAGGCAAAUGCUAUCUGAAAAUCCUAACUUCUUCUAUGCUGUUCAGGGAGAGGAGGAUCAGUAUGUGGGCAAUGUCUUUUGGGCUGAUCCAAAGUCUCGGAUGAACUAUACUUACUUUGGUGAUACUGUUACAUUUGACACUACCUACAGAUCAAACAGAUAUCGUCUGCCCUUUGCUCCCUUCACUGGGGUGAAUCAUCAUGGRCAGCCUGUGUUGUUUGGUUGUGCUUUUCUAAUAAAUGAAUCUGAAGCAUCAUUUAAUUGGCUGUUUAGAACGUGGCUUUUGGCAAUGUCUGGUCGCCCACCUGUGUCAAUUACUACGGAUCAUGAUGCAGUAAUACAGUCAGCCAUUACACAAGUUUUCCCUGAGACCCGUCACCGUUUCUGCAAAUGGCAUAUUUUCAAAAAAUGCCAGGAGAUGUUGUCUCAUGUGUUCCUCAAACAUCCAAGCUUUGAAGCUGACUUCCAUAAAUGUGUAAACUUGACUGACUCCAUUGAGGAAUUUGAGUCCUGCUGGCUGUCACUUGUUGACAGAUAUGAUCUCAGGGAUCAUGAGUGGCUUCAGACAAUUUACUCUGCUCGGAGGCAAUGGGUUCCGGUGUAUUUGCGGGACACUUUUUUUGCUGAAAUGUCUAUCACCCAACGAAGUGAUAGCAUGAAUUCAUAUUUUGAUGGAUAUGUGAAUGCUUCAACCAAUUUGAGUCAGUUCUUCAAACUAUAUGAAAAAGCUCUGGAGAGUCGGAAUGAGAAAGAAGUGAAAGCAGAUUACGAUACAAUGAACACCUCUCCUUUUCUGAAGACUCCAUCUCCAAUGGAAAAACAGGUUUCUGAGCUCUACACCAGGAAGCUGUUCUCAAGGUUUCAAGAGGAGUUAGUUGGCACGUUAACUUUUAUGGCAUCGAAGGCUGAUGAUGAUGGGGAAAUUAUAACUUACCAAGUCGCUAAAUUUGGAGAGGAUCAUAAAGCUCACUAUGUGAAAUUUAAUGUUUUGGAGAUGAGAGCAAGUUGUAGUUGCCAAAUGUUUGAGUUCUCAGGUCUUCUGUGCAGACAUAUCUUGGCUGUCUUCAGAGUGACCAAUGUGCUUACGCUCCCCUCUCAUUAUAUAUUGAAAMGAUGGACAAGAAAUGCCAAGAGUAAUGUGAUACUAGAGGACCAUGUUAAUGACAUCUAUAAUAACUAUCUUGAAUCUCAUACUGUGAGAUACAAUACCCUACGCCAUGAGGUUUUUAGAUUCAUAGAGGAAGGAGCAAAGACUGUCGAUACAUAUACUGUGGCAAAGGAUACCCUUCAGGAGGCUGCAAAAAGGGUUGCUCAUACAACACGGAAUGAUGGCAAAAUUUCUACAAUAAAUGGGCGAAUUAAAGUGGACCCUGUAAAUGAUAGAAGCUAUACAAAUCAUAUUAGUAGCAGGGAUCACGACGGGAGCUUGGGUAAAAACAUGUCUGAGGAUGACUUGGACAAGAAAAUCAAUGAACUUACCAAUGAGUUGGAGUGUACAAAUCGGAAGUGUGAAGUUUAUCGGUCUAACCUUUUUUCGGUGCUGAAAGAUAUUGAGGACCAUAAGUUGCAAUUAUCUAUCAAAGUGCAGAACAUAAAAAUUAGUAUGAAAGACAGCAUUUGAAGGUGUGACAGAAGUACAUAUAUAGUGAGUCUUUGCCUCAUCUGAAUACCAAAUGUUGUGUAUUUUUAACCUUGGUCUCAUUGAGAAGUAUGUUAGUUCUGGAAAUGUAAAUUUGCUUCGCAUCGAGUAAUCGGUGCUCCUACAUCUGUAUGUWACGAUUAAGAGGUGAUAGUUUCUUGGUUUACUGUCUCUGGAGAUGGAUGACCACAUUUUCAUUUUCAUUGCAAGAUUUUUCUGGCCAUCCAAUGGAUCUUCUUAGAAGUAUGAUACUCUCUCAGUGAUGCCAGAAACAUGCAGAUCUUGUUAAUCUUCUUGUUCACCGAUUUGAGUCUCCAAAGUGUAAUCGGAAACUACACGGGGAGAAAAUAACUGGUUUUGAAGAUAGUGGCAAUGUUCACCUUAUUGAUGGCUAACCUUUUCAGAUCAGAAUCCAUGUUCAGACCAGCAUCUUUUUCCACAUCAAUUUUUGAGGUGAAAAAUACUGAGGUGUAUAUUUUUUCCCUCCCCCCCCACCAAGGAAAAAGAAAAUUAUAAAAAUAAAAAAAAAGAACUCUUAUUUCUGUCAUGAUUUGGCUAGAAAAUAAGGAAUGCCAAUUGCUGCCCUUCAUCUGAAUGUACAGGAAAUUCUUUGUAGAUUUGGUGGUAUUUUUACCAUUUUUAGUUUGUUUAGAAGAUGUAAUUGGCCAGCUGCUUAGUGGUAGCAAACAAAGUAGUUGUAGUUUUAUACCAUGCCCUUGAUCUUCUUUUACAUUUCACUUGGAUU